GAUUACCCGCUGAACUUAAGCAUAUCACUAAGCGGAGGAAAAGAAACUAACCAGGAUUCCCUCAGUAACGGCGAGUGAAGAGGGAAGAGCCCAGCACCGAAGCCUGUGGCCGUUUGGUCCCUAGGGCAAUGUGGUGUUCAGGUUGGCUCGCGGGGAUACUGCUCCAUCCUAAGUCCUAUAAUGAGUAAGGUUACUCGGACAUGGCCCAUUGAGGGUGAAAGGCCCGUGGGGGUGGAAAAUCAGACUGGCCAGUAUCUCCCUGAGCAGACCUUGGAGUCGGGGUUGUUUGUGAAUGCAGC
rnacentral:rRNA from 1 species